GGGCCUCGAUCAGUGCACGUUUGAGGGUGUUGAAGGCCUCCUCACACUCCACUGUCCAAGUGAAGGCCUUGUCCUUCGGCUGCAGGUGGUUCAGGGGAGCAGUGACGCUUGAGAAGCCCCAUACAAACCUCCUGUAGUACGAGGCCAGGCCCAGGAAGCUCUUCAGCUGCCGCUGGUCAGUGGGGGUGGGCCAGUCUCGGACAGCCCCCACCUUGUCCUCCAUGGUGCUGAUCCCCUCCUUCCCCACUCAGUGGCCCAAGGAGGACACUUCUCUCCUCAUGAAGUGGCACUUCUCGGGUGGACCUUCAGACCGGCGGCAGCCACCUGCUCCAGCACACAUCGUAGCGCCACCAGGGCUGACUGGAAGGAGCUGCCAUGGGCCAGGAUGUCAUCGAGGUAUACCAGACAUUGCUGUCGGGGUAUGCCAUCCAGCACCCUGUCCAUCAAACGCUCAAAAGUAGCUGGAGCAUUGCACAGGCCGACGCACAGGACCUUGAAUUGCCAGUGUCCUCUGUUAGUGGAGAACACAGUUUUGGCUCUGGCCUCUGGGGAGAGGGGCACCUGCCAGUAGCCACUGCGGAGGUCUAGUGAGGAGAACCAGGAGGACCCCUAACCAGGUCCAGCGACUCAUCGAUACGUGGUAUGGGUUGAGUCCUUCCUGGUUACCUCAUUCAGUCGCCUGUAGUCCACACAGAACCUCAGCUUGCCCCCCUUCUUAGGAACCAUGACGACUGGCGCCGCCCAGGGGCUGUCUGAGGGCUCGAUGAAGUCUGCCCGCUGCAUCUCCAACACAGCCUUGUCUGCCGCCUCCUGGCGUGCCAGCGGGAUACGGCGGGGACGCAUCUUGAUGGGUCGAGCAUCACCUGUGUCGAUCUCAUGCUGCACCAGAUGAGUCUGACCCACCUCUUCCUCACUCAGCGCAAAGCUGUCUCUGAAUUCAAACAGCAACUACCACAACGGUUCCUGCUGCUCGGGGUCAAGACCAACACAGUUCCUCUACAAUAUUAACGUUGGUUGAGAAAUAUAGAAGAAUAAUAAGAACAUACAGAAGAAGUAGAGACAAUAUUUCCACAGCUCUACAAGCAUCAUAUUUGAAAUGUAUCAAGGGAUGACACAGAGACCUCUGGCUCUGAGUAAAACAGUGAGCCAGAGCUGCCAGGAGAUGUCAUCAAGCCCCUCCCAACUGCAUCAAGCACCAGAUAUGCUGUUCCAAAAGGACCCAAUGGCAUUUCAAGAUCCAGAGAAGAGGGUCCUGUACAGCCGUGUCUGAAAACAUUUCCCAGAACUCAGCAUGGUACUAGGAAAAUGGGCUUUCAACAGCUCCUGGUAUAAGGACAAUUCAUGGCUUGAAUAUUCUGUAAAUCAAGAUUCAACUUAUUGUUUCGCCUGUAGGCAUUUUUCUCAAUAUCAGUGCUAUGUAUGCUUGGAAUCAGCAUAAAACGGCUAUUGACAGCAACUCAUCAAUGUUAGAUGUCAUAAAUGAUGACCGGAAAAAGAAAGUGAAGGAAAACUGUAUUUACAUUAAAACAAUUUCAGAUGUGCUCCUAUUAACUGCCACUCAAAAUAUAGUGCAGAGAAGUCAGAGAGUCUGAUGACUCUCACAACAAGGGUCAUCUUCUGACAAUCUUAGAAGAAAUAGCAAAGCAUGACCGUCUCAAAGAGAAAAAGAUGAAUGCAUGUGGCAAUGCUAAGUACACAAGCCACCAAAUCCAGAACAAAGUUCUUGAGGGCUUAGCUGAGGUGGUACAAAGUGAAAUAAUAAGAGAAGUAAAAGAAAGUGAAGUUUGGCUAGGUGCUAAGUUUGACGUUUUCUAGUGUGCUUGAACAACCUUAACAAAAAUGUAUUUUCCUUUUUCUCUCUCGCGCCGUUUUCCAUAUACCCUUGGCACUUUUUAGUUAUUUAGUUCACCUUUAUUUAACCAGGUCGGCCAGUUGAGAACAAGUUCUCAUUUACAACUGCGACCUGGCCAAGAUAAAGCAAAACAGUGCGACAAAAACAACAACAACA